rnacentral:rRNA from 1 species
GACGAACGCUGGCGGCGUGCCUAAUACAUGCAAGUCGAGCGAAGUUUUUCUGGUGCUUGCACUAGAAAAACUUAGCGGCGAACGGGUGAGUAACACGUAAAGAACCUGCCUCAUAGACUGGGACAACUAUUGGAAACGAUAGCUAAUACCGGAUAACAGUAUUUCUCGCAUGAGAGAUAUUUAAAAGUUGGUUAUGCUAACACUAUGAGAUGGCUUUGCGGUGCAUUAGCUAGUUGGUGGGGUAAAGGCCCACCAAGGCGACGAUGCAUAGCCGACCUGAGAGGGUGAUCGGCCACACUGGGACUGAGACACGGCCCAGACUCCUACGGGAGGCAGCAGUAGGGAAUCUUCCGCAAUGGGCGAAAGCCUGACGGAGCAACGCCGCGUGAGUGAAGAAGGAUUUCGGUUCGUAAAGCUCUGUUGUUAGGGAAGAAUGGAUAUGUAGUAACUAUACAUAUAAGAGACGGUACCUAACCAGAAAGCCACGGCUAGCUACGUGCCAGCAGCCGCGGUAAUACGUAGGUGGCAAGCGUUGUCCGGAAUUAUUGGGCGUAAAGCGCGCGCAGGUGGUUUAAUAAGUCUGAUGUGAAAGCCCACGGCUCAACCGUGGAGGGUCAUUGGAAACUGUUAAACUUGAGUGCAGGAGAGAAAAGUGGAAUUCCUAGUGUAGCGGUGAAAUGCGUAGAGAUUAGGAGGAACACCAGUGGCGAAGGCGGCUUUUUGGCCUGUAACUGACACUGAGGCGCGAAAGCGUGGGGAGCAAACAGG